CAACAGGGAUUGCCCUAGUAACGGCGAGUGAAGCGGCAACAGCUCAAAUUUGAAAUCUGGCCUUCGGGUCCGAGUUGUAAUUUGUAGAGGAUGCUUUUGGUGCGGUGCCUUCCGAGUUCCCUGGAACGGGACGCCAUAGAGGGUGAGAGCCCCGUCUGGUUGGAUACCAAUCCUCUGUAAAGCUCCUUCGACGAGUCGAGUAGUUUGGGAAUGCUGCUCUAAAUGGGAGGUAUAUGUCUUCUAAAGCUAAAUACCGGCCAGAGACCGAUAGCGCACAAGUAGAGUGAUCGAAAGAUGAAAAGCACUUUGAAAAGAGAGUUAAAAAGUACGUGAAAUUGUUGAAAGGGAAGCGCUUGUGACCAGACUUGGGCUUGGUUGAUCAUCCUGGGUUCUCCCUGGUGCACUCUUCCAGUCCAGGCCAGCAUCAGUUUGCUUCGGGGGAUAAAGGCUUCGGGAAUGUGGCUCCUUCGGGAGUGUUAUAGCCCGUUGUGUAAUACCCUGAGGCAGACUGAGGUUCGCGCUCUGCAAGGAUGCUGGCGUAAUGGUCAUCAGCGACCCGUCUUGAAACACGGACCAAGGAGUCGUCUUCGUAUGCGAGUGUUCGGGUGUUAAACCCCUACGCGUAAUGAAAGUGAACGCAGGUGAGAGCUUCGGCGCAUCAUCGACCGAUCCUGAUGUUCUCGGAUGGAUUUGAGUAAGAGCAUACGGGGCCGGACCCGAAAGAAGGUGAACUAUGCCUGUAUAGGGUGAAGCCAGAGGAAACUCUGGUGGAGGCUCGCAGCGGUUCUGACGUGCAAAUCGAUCGUCAAAUAUGGGCAUGGGGGCGAAAGACUAAUCGAACCU
rnacentral:rRNA from 1 species